rnacentral:rRNA from 1 species
GACGAACGCUGGCGGCGUGCUUAACACAUGCAAGUCGAACGGAAAGGCCCUGCUUUUGUGGGGUGCUCGAGUGGCGAACGGGUGAGUAACAUGUGAGUAACCUGCCCUUGACUUUGGGAUAACUUCAGGAAACUGGGGCUAAUACCGGAUAGGAGCUCCUGCUGCAUGGUGGGGGUUGGAAAGUCUCGGCGGUUGGGGAUGGACUCGCGGCUUAUCAGCUUGUUGGUGGGGUAGUGGCUUACCAAGGCUUUGACGGGUAGCCGGCCUGAGAGGGUGACCGGCCACAUUGGGACUGAGAUACGGCCCAGACUCCUACGGGAGGCAGCAGUGGGGAAUAUUGCACAAUGGGCGGAAGCCUGAUGCAGCAACGCCGCGUGCGGGAUGACGGCCUUCGGGUUGUAAACCGCUUUCGCCUGUGACGAAGCGUGAGUGACGGUAAUGGGUAAAGAAGCACCGGCUAACUACGUG